rnacentral:tRNA from 1 species
GAGGGUGUAGCUCAGUGGUAGAGCGCAUGCUUAGCAUGCACAAGGCCUUGGGUUCAUUUCCCAGGACCUACA